rnacentral:tRNA from 1 species
UGGGGCGGAUGUAGCCAAGUGGAUUAAGGCAGUGGA